GUGUUCGCAGUGGCAGCAGCCAACGUUGCAGAGGUGUAAACCAGUGCAAUGCCAUAAAGAUUGAAGCAUAUGGUAAUCCUAUAUUCAUGAACAUCAAACUUAAUCUGAGUUCAAAAUUCUUUUUAUUAUGUCAUAUAAUCUAUUAGAACUUAGAAGUUCAACAACUAAUAAAUGCUUACCCAAAUAAUGAAAGCAUAAAUAUCUUGCAGAAGGCUACAAACGACAGUGGUGGAGCUGUUUUUCUGAUAACCAUAAAAAAGGGGAGAGAAAAAAAAAACAGAAAACAAAGAACAGUUAUAGGAUUUGAAACCAGAUAAUCAACUUGAGUUAACUGCUUCGAUAUAGUCUGAGCCAACAAAGAGAAACAUGAACUAGGAGGAAUUAGCUUCAUCACCUU
rnacentral:lncRNA from 1 species